UACGUAGGGUCCGAGCGUUAAUCGGAAUUACUGGGCGUAAAGCGUGCGCAGGCGGCUUUGUAAGCCAGAUGUGAAAUCCCCGAGCUUAACUUGGGAACUGCGCUCGAAACUACUUGGCUAGAGUGUGGCAGAGGGAGGUGGAAUUCCACGUGUAGCGGUGAAAUGCGUAGAGAUGUGGAGGAACACCGAUGGCGAAGGCAGCCUCCUGGGCCAACACUGACGCUCAUGCACGAAAGCGUGGGGAGCAAACAGG
rnacentral:rRNA from 1 species